UGUAGUUGAAGUGAGGCAGGUUUUCAAGGGUGUUUUUACAGUUGCAGUGACAGAUUAACAACAUUUCUGUAUUACUGACAGGAGAAACACUUUUAAAAGGCUGUAGUUGAAGUGACAUGGGUUUUCAAGGGUGUUUUUACAGUUCCAGUGACAGAUUAACAACAUUUCUGCAUUACUGACAGGAGAAACACGUUUUUAAAAGGCUCUAGUUGAAGUGACAAGGGUUUUCAAGGGUGUUUUUAAGGUUCCAGUGACAGAUUAACAACAUUUCUGCAUUACUGACAGGAGAAACACUUUUAAAGGGUGUAGUUGAAGUGAGGCAGGUUUUCAAGGGUGUUUUUACAGUUCCAGUGACAGAUUAACAACAUUUCUGCAUUACUGACAGGAGAAACACUUUUAAAGGGUGUAGUUGAAGUGACAUGGGUUUUCAAGGGUGUUUUUACAGUUGCAGUGACAGAUUAACAACAUUUCUGCAUUACUGACAGGAGAAACACGCUUUUAAAAGGCUGUAGUUGAAGUGAUGCAGGUUUUCAAGGGUGUUUUUAAGGUUUCAGUGACAAAUUAACUACAUUUUUGCGUUACUGACAGCAGAAACACUCUUUUAAAAGGCUCUAGUUGAAGUGAUAUGGGUUUUCAAGGGUAUUUUUACAGUUCCAGUGACAGAUUAACAUUUCUGCAUUACUGACAGGAAAAACACUCUUUUAAAAGGCUGUAGUUGAAGUGACAAGGGUUUGCAAGGGUGUUUUUACAGUUACAGUGACAGAUUAACAACAUUUCUACAUUACUGACAUGAGAAACACUUUUAAAAGGCUGUAGUUGAAGUGACAAGGGUUUGCAAGGGUGUUUUUACAGUUACAGUGACAGAUUAACAACAUUUCUGCAUUUUACUACAUUUUAUCAUCUUGCCAAUAAAUAGUAGCAGCAGCAGCAGCAGGUUGGUGUGGCAACCCAAGAAAAUUUGAAUUACGCCAGCAAAGAUUUGCUUUAUUAGUUAUGGUUGACCUGUACUUUGGUACACUACUGUAAUCUAAUUAUGUCAUGAAAUUAGAACACAGUUUUAAGCAUUGAUGAAAUGAUUUUUUUGUGUGUCUUAUGGCAAAAAGUUCAAUUUUUCAGCCCAACCAAUGUUGCAGUUUAAGAUAAGAUAGGCUGUCUUAAACUCCCAUCAGUUGUUGAAGUAUAUAUUUAAAGUUAUUUUUCUUGUUGACGCAGAUAGUAAUUGAGGAACACAACACACUGCGUGGAGAGAACCAGGGUGUGGAGUACCCAAAGCUCUCACAGUCCAUGGUAGUAGACUCACCCUGCAUGUGGAGAUCUCCCCAAAUGCACAUUUGUUAUUCCAGAGCUGCAGGACAGAGUACUUGAGGCCAUUGGUGAACAGAAAGCUGAGGUUGAACAAAGCCAAGAAUUGAUAGCUGCCCAAGGUGUAAGCAACAUUCACAAUGAUGAGGUCAUUAUGACGUGUGCAAUGUGUCCACUGGUCUUGGCCUUCCUGACCAAGGCAGCCAAACAAAGGAAAUUCCACGUUAUUGUUGCCGAACGUGCCCCUGAACGUGACGCGAGGUGUUUUGUGCGUCUCUUUGACGUCAUCGUGUCUGACGUGCAAAGUGCCUAACACAGGGACUGCCACAUGUACAGGUGAUGGCUUCUUGCAGCUUCCUUUAUUUUCUUAUGUUCUUAUGUUCUCAAUACAUCUUUUACUUGUGCAGGGUCACCCAAUGGCAAAAGCUUUAUGUACUGCUGGAAUUCAGACAACAUUAAUUCAAGACUCUGCAGUGUUCCCCAUCAUGUCAUGUGUCAACAAGGUCGUCGCUGGUGCCAAGACAGCGGUGAGCAGCGGAGGCAUUGAGACCUUUGUUGGUGCAGCCUCUCUUGCCUCACCACCAAAGUUUUAUUCUGUUCCAGUGGAUAUACAUUCCUCCUCUUGAGUGUUGGACGGUCCUUUCUCAAACCUCAACCUGUCUCGUGUGGAGCUAGACACUGUCAGGGAAAGCUGGAAGAUGGCACAGAAUUCGACAGCAGUUACCCUCGAGGACAACCCCUGCCUGACCUUCACGCUGGGGUCAGGUCAGGUCAUCCGAGGCUGGGACCAGGAGCUAAUUGGGAUAUGCGAGGGGGAAAAGAGGAAGCUUGUCAUCCCCUCGGACCUCGGCUAUGGAGCUUCAUGGGCGCCUCGGAAGAUACCUCCCCACACCACGCUGGUCUUCAAGGUGGAACUUGUCAAGAUAGAGAGGAAAGAGGAGCUUUGAGGCUAAUCUAGGUGGAGGUGUUGCACCAUCCUGCAUGUGCCGGGAGCUUGGUGAACCGUGCCGUCCCACUUCUUGUGAUCUCUAAGGUAACAGCUUUAAUCCUUGCAAAUAAGGAAUAAGAGAAAAGAGACACACCAGCCAUUUGUACUGUUAUGAUGUUCCGUCAUUUUUUUUCCCUCUUUUAUCCUGGAACCAUUUUUGCUCAUUCAUGUUUAUAAAAAUUAUCAUACAAAAAUGUUGAGGUUAAUAUGUUUGGUGUAGUUUUUUUGUAACGUGUUAUUGUUAAUGUGUGUGCUUUGCCUCAGGAAGAAUGUCGCAGUAUUAGCAGUAAUGUUACAGCCAAUGGAAGUGUCUGUAUUGUGCUUAGGUGGGAGGUUAAUUUGAUGUAUUUUUAGAGUUCUGCAGGAUAUAGCAAGCCCUCAAAAUAAAGAAAAUAACUAUGGAAAACACUCCUUGUAUUUUAAACACCAUUGCAGACAAAUCUGUAAUGAAACAGGAAACCCUACAUUCAGGAAACCCUACAUGCAGGAUAUAACAAGCCCUCAAAAUAAAGAAAAUAACUAUGGAAAA